AGUGGCGAACGGGUGAGUAAUGUAUCGCUAACGUGCCCCGGACUCUGGGAUAGCCGAGGGAAACUUCGGGUAAUACCAGAUGAUAUGUCCCUGUCGCAUGACAGGGACCUCAAAGGUCCGCCGGUCUGGGAGCGGGCGAUAUCGUAUCAGCUAGUUGGUGAGGUAACGGCUCACCAAGGCGACGACGCGUAGCCGGACUGAGAGGUUGGCCGGCCACAUUGGGACUGAGACACUGCCCAGACUCCUACGGGGGGCUGCAGUAACGAAUCUUCCGCAAUGUACGAAAGUAUGACGGAGCGGCGCCGCGUGUAGGAUGAAGCCCUUCGGGGUGUAAACUACUGUCAGGGGUUAGAAAGUUCUGAUCAACCCCAGAGGAAGGCACGGCUAACUCUGUGCCAGCAGCCGCGGCAAGACAGAGGUGCCAAGCGUUAGGCGGAAUCACUGGGCUUAAAGCGUGUGUAGGCGGAUCGUUAAGUGCCUUGUGAAAUCCCACGGCUCAACCGUGGAACGGCUGGGCA
rnacentral:rRNA from 1 species